rnacentral:tRNA from 1 species
GAAAUAUGAAGCUCAAGAAGAAGCUGCUAACUUCUACCUUUAGUGGUUUAAAUCCAUUAAUAUUUCA